rnacentral:rRNA from 1 species
UAAUACGUAGGGGGCAAGCGUUGUCCGGAUUUAUUGGGCGUAAAGAGCUCGUAGGCGGCCGUCCACGUCGGAUGUGAAAGCUCGGGGCUCAACCCUGAGAGGCCAUUCGAUACGGGACGGCUAGAGGCAGGUAGGGGAGAUUGGAAUUCCUGGUGUAGCGGUGAAAUGCGCAGAUAUCAGGAGGAACACCGGUGGCGAAGGCGGAUCUCUGGGCCUUGCCUGACGCUGAGGAGCGAAAGCUGGGGGAGCGAACAGGAUUAGAUACCCUGGUAGUCCCAGCCGUAAACGUUGGGUGCUAGGUGUGGGGCGGUCUUCAACCCGCUCCGUGCCGCAGCUAACGCAUUAAGCACCCCGCCUGGGGAGUACGGCCGCAAGGCUA